GAUGAAUUCCAGCAGAAUUCCCGGGGCUGCCACUCAGGCAGCAGGAUUUUUCCAAGGUGCCCCAAACCCCUUACACUAUGCAUCCCCCUUUCCAGGGAGGGCAGGCUAACUCUGCCGGAAGCCCCAGGCACCUCGCCACCCCACCGGAGGCUCUGCAGCUUUAAGAACUGUUGCUGGCUGCCGCCCAGGAGGCUACAGGAGGCCACCCCACCAUUGCACCAUUGCAGGGCCUCGUGAGCACAGGCUGCAGGCUGCCGCAGUGCACGCCAGGCUGGCCCGGGCUUGCAGACCUGAACCCUGCUGAUCGGCCAGUUGAGCUGGAGAAAGGGGAUCUUUAUGCCUCUUUGAGGGAAGCACACAUUCUGCGAGGCCAUGGAAACAAAGAGAGGAACUGUUUGUAGCCCUAGGACAGACAAACAGUUUCUUGUCUGGGAGGGAGACUUCCCCGAGGGACCCUCACCUGGCCUCCCCUGUCUUCUGCCCGCCUUCUACUUUACCUGCCCUGCAGUCCAGUACCCCACCUGCAGCCAGAACCUUCUUCAUGUGAGGAGAGUCUUACAGGUCACUCCAGGGUGGACCACUCUCUCUGCUUGCUCUUGGAUGGCCCAGCAGCUGGCUUCUCCAGGUGGAGGAUGGUCUGCGUCUGGACGCCAGGCACCCCAGGCACCCAGGAAGCCACCCUGUUGCUAUCCCCACGGUGUCCACACUCGUAGGCCUGCCGGACUUUUAAAUGGGGCUGCGUCCUGCUUCAGUCACCUCGGUGUGCUAGCCUACCCCGGACAGCAGGGGCUAAGUAAAUAUUUCCCAAAUGGAGGGAAAACUUGUGAAAGAAGUAUAAGGAAUGACUUUUUAUUUAUUAUUAUUAUUUAUUUUUUAGAGGGAGAUAAGGGGUGGGGGAGAGGGACAGAAGGACAGGGAGAAGGAGAGAGAGGAUCGUCGGCAGGCUUCAGGUCUGGCACGGAGUCUGAUGCGGGGCUUGAUCUCCUGACCCUGAGACUGUGACCUGAGAUGACAUCAAGAGUCAGACACUUGAGCACCUGGGUGGCUCCGUUGGUUCAGCGUCUGCCUUCGGCUCCAGUCAUGAUCUCGGGGUCCUGAGAUCGAGCCCAGUGCGGGGCUCCCUGCUCAGACGGGAGUCUGCUCCUCCUCCUAUCCUUCCCCUUGCUUGUGCUCUCUCUGUCUUCUCUUUCUCUUUCUCAAAUAAAUAAAUUAAAAAUAAUCUUUGGGGAUCCCUG
rnacentral:lncRNA from 12 species